rnacentral:rRNA from 1 species
UACGGAAGGCAGCAGUGGGGGAAUAUUGCACAAUGGGCGCAAGCCUGAUGCAGCCAUGCCGCGUGUAUGAAGAAGGCCUUCGGGUUGUAAAGUACUUUCAGUCGUGAGGAAGGUGUUAAGGUUAAUAACCUUAGCAAUUGACGUUAGCGACAGAAGAAGCACCGGCUAACUCCGUGCCAGCAGCCGCGGUAAUACGGAGGGUGCGAGCGUUAAUCGGAAUUACUGGGCGUAAAGGGCACGCAGGCGGUUAAUUAAGUUGGAUGUGAAAUCCCCGGGCUUAACCUGGGAAUGGCAUUCAAGACUGGUUAGCUAGAGUCUUGUAGAGGGGGUAGAAUUCCGAUGUGUAGCGGUGAAAUGCGUAGAGAUGUGGAGGAAUACCGGUGGCGAAGGCGGCCCCUGGACAAAGACUGACGCUCAUGUGCGAAAGCGUGGGGAGCAA